ncrna:unclassified sequences Glutamine-II riboswitch (downstream peptide RNA)
AAACGUUCAUCUCGUUUUACGAGCCGCAUUAAGAUUGAAGCCAGGGAACGGGGACUUCAG